rnacentral:rRNA from 1 species
GCUGGCGGCAUGCUUAACACAUGCAAGUCGAACGGUAACAGACUGAAAGUAUCUCUUCGGAGUGAUUUCGGUGCUGACGAGUGGCGGACGGGUGAGUAAUGCAUAGGAAUCUGCCCAGUAGUGGGGGAUAACGUGGAGAAAUCCACGCUAAUACCGCAUAUGUUCCACGGAACAAAGCAGGGGACCUUCGGGCCUUGCGCUAUUGGAUGAGCCUAUGUUGGAUUAGCUAGUUGGUAGGGUAAAGGCCUACCAAGGCAACGAUCCAUAGCUGGUCUGAGAGGAUGAUCAGCCACACUGGGACUGAGACACGGCCCAGACUCCUACGGGAGGCAGCAGUGGGGAAUAUUGCACAAUGGGCGAAAGCCUGAUGCAGCAAUGCCGCGUGUGUGAAGA